GAUGAAGAACGUAGCGAAAUGCGAUAAGUAAUGCGAAUUGCAGAAUUCCAGUGAGUCAUCGAAUCUUUGAACGCACAUUGCGCCCUUUGGUAUUCCUUAGGGCAUGCCUGUUCGAGCGUCAUUUAAACCUUCAAGCUAAGCUUGGUGUUGGGUGACUGUCCGCUUCACGGCGGACUCGCCUCAAAAUUAUUGGCGGCCGGUACAUUGGCUUCGAGCGCAGCAGAAACGCGAACUCGGGCCCGUCGUAUUGGCUCCCAGAAGCUAUCUUCACAAUUUUGACCUCGGAUCAGGUAGGGAUACCCGCUGAACUUAAGCAUAUCAAUAAGCGGAGGA
rnacentral:misc_RNA from 1 species